rnacentral:misc_RNA from 1 species
GAUGAAGAACGUAGCGAAAUGCGAUACGUAAUGUGAAUUGCAAAUUCAGUGAAUCAUCGAGUCUUUGAACGCACAUUGCGCCCCCUGGUAUUCCGGGGGGCAUGCCUGUCCGAGCGUCAUUGCUGCCCUCAAGCACGGCUUGUGUGUUGGGCCCCGUCCUCCGAUCCCGGGGGACGGGCCCGAAAGGCAGCGGCGGCACCGCGUCCGGUCCUCGAGCGUAUGGGGCUUUGUCACCCGCUCUGUAGGCCCGGCCGGCGCUUGCCGAUCAACCCAAACUUUUAUCCAGGUUGACCUCGGAUCAGGUAGGGAUACCCGCUGAACUUAAGCAUAUCAAUAAGCGGAGGA